AUGUACCCAGUGAUGAACGAUCGAAACUUGAUCCUAAGUCAAAGAGGUGUAUCUUCAUUGGAUAUACCAAAGGUGUGAAGGGGUUCAAGUUCUGGAUCUAGUUUCUAGAAAGGUGGUAUUGAGCAGAGAUGCAGUGUUUGAUGAAGAUUUCAUGAUGAAACAGUCAGUUUUGACAGAGGUGCUCAUACCAAAUGGAGAGACUUUGGGAUCAAAUAUGAUUCUAAUGAGCAAUGAAAUGGUUCAGGUGAAUAAAGGCAAGAAACCAUGCAGUAAUUCAAGUCAAGAACGAGUUCAGGUGUGCAUGAGUAUCUACUUGCUAGAGACAGAGAUAAACGUCCCAUCAAACCUUCAGAGAGAUAUGGCUUUGAGGAUAUGGCUUCAGUUGCUCUCCAUAUCACGUCCUAUCAAACCUCUAGAGAGAUAUGGCUUUGAGGAUAUGGCUUCAGUUGCUCUCCAUAUCAGUUCAGGAAGAGGCUAUAAACAGCUAGGAGAAAGAACAAUGGAUGAGUGCCAUGAUGGAGGAGAUGAAGUCUUUACAGAAGAACCAAAUUUAGGAGCUUGUUCCAUUGCCCCCAGACAAGCGUGCAGUUGGAUGCAAGUGAGUGUACAAGAGGAAGCCAGCAGUAUCAGAAAAAGAAGGGGAAAAGUUUAAGGCUCGUCUUGUAGCAAAAGGGUAUUCACAGCAGAAGGGGAUCGACUACAA
rnacentral:lncRNA from 1 species